rfam:Triticum aestivum genome assembly, contig: Triticum_aestivum_CS42_TGACv1_scaffold_132417_2BL
UUGAUACUUUCCGUUCCAAAAUUUUUGUCUUAAAUUUAUCUAAAUACGGAUGUAUCAAGUCACGCUUUAAUAUUAGAUACAUCUAUAUCUAAAUAAAUCUAAGACAAAAAUUUUAAGACGAAGAAAGUAUUUU